GGUCAGCUUUGGAAAGUCGGAAGAGUGGGGGUGCUUCUCUAGGUCAGACUGGUACUAGUUACAGUAUGGAGUGGAACCAAGCUGGUUUGAUGCAGAGUUUGGACUGAUUCAUUUUCAUGCUAGGUCGAAGAUCUAGCCAUCUCAGAUGGUUCAGGAGAACUGGGUGGGGAGUGGUAGCCAUUUUCCUGCCCUUCUCUUAACAACAAAAAUACAGAAGAGAAACUGAGAGAAUGAAAAGGAGACUCGUGGUGGAGUGAAGGGCAUUUCCAUGUCCAUGAGCGGUGGUACUGUUCAGUGAAUUUACGGCAGCUGGCAAAGUGGAACUUGCUGAAGAAUUGUUUGAAGGUGUUGGACUUGUUCCAUUGGGAUCACAGUAGAUCUGCGCGGGUAGGAGGAGCGCCAGGAGCAGGAGCCCCAGGCCGAGCCGCGCCGCCAGCGCUGUCCCCACGGCCGUCCCCAUGCCCUUCUGCUGCUGUUUCGCUGCGUGCCGCGCCGAUGCUGCCGCUGAUCCAACCGCUGCGACGGCGAACGAGACGGCGGAGCCGCGCCCGGGCUUUUUAUAGGAGCGCGGAAUGCCGUGACGCCCC
rnacentral:lncRNA from 1 species